GGCUUCGUAGUUCAAUGGAUAGAAUGAAAGAUUCCGGUUCUUUUGAUGUGGGUUCGAGUCCCGCCGAGGUCA
rnacentral:tRNA from 1 species